rnacentral:rRNA from 1 species
GACGAACGCUGGCGGCGUGCCUAAUACAUGCAAGUUGAGCGCUGAAGGUUGGUACUUGUACCAACUGGAUGAGCAGCGAACGGGUGAGUAACGCGUGGGGAAUCUGCCUUUGAGCGGGGGACAACAUUUGGAAACGAAUGCUAAUACCGCAUAAAAACUUUAAACACAAGUUUUAAGUUUGAAAGAUGCAAUUGCAUCACUCAAAGAUGAUCCCGCGUUGUAUUAGCUAGUUGGUGAGGUAAAGGCUCACCAAGGCGAUGAUACAUAGCCGGCCUGAGAGGGUGGUCGGCCACAUUGGGACUGAGACACGGCCCAAACUCCUACGGGAGGCAGCAGUAGGGGAUCUUCGGCAAUGGACGAAAGUCUGACCGAGCAACGCCGCGUGAGUGAAGAAGGUUUUCGGAUCGUAAAACUCUGUUGGUAGAGAAGAACGUUGGUGAGAGUGGAAAGCUCAUCAAGUGACGGUAACUACCCAGAAAGGGACGGCUAACUACGUG